UGCGAUGUGUAGCUUCGAUCUCUUACUCAGUGGUCUUGAAUGGGUUGGUGGGUAAUUCAUUCUUUCCAUCGAGGGGUCUGCAUCAAUGGGGCCCACUAAGUCCCAAUCUUUUUCUUAUUUGCGAUAAAGGUUUAUCUGCUCUCAUUCAAAUGACAGAUAUAAGGGGGUGAUCUCAAAGGUUUUCGAAUAAAUAGGCAUGCCCCUCUUGUCAUUCACUUAUUUUUCGCAAAUGAUAGUCUAAUAUUUGGUGAUGCAACAGUUGAUGUGGCUAGGGUUCUUAAAGAAAAGCUGGAGAUUUAGGCUCAAAGUUCGGGCCAAGUGGUAAACUUUGAUAAAUCUGGGGUAUUUUUCAGCUUAAAUGUUCAUCAAAAUAAUAGAGAGGAGGUGUGUCGACUUUUGGGAGUGAAUUCGAGUAUUAAUCCGAAAAAAUAUCUUGAUCUCCCUCCAAUGGUGGGGCGAAAUAAGAAAAGAGUAUUUAAGGAGAUUAAAGAGAAGCUAAUUAAAAGGGUUUCUAGUUGGAGUUCGAAACUACUUUUAAUGGGUGGGAGAGAAGUUUUAAUAUCGCACUUUAUCAUUAGAAAUGCAGAAUGUCUCAUAAUGGGUUCGAGGCGAAGCUAGGGCCAUAAAAUAAAAAAUUAUUAUUCAGGCUUUUUUUAUAAAUUUAAAUUAGUAAAUAUAAAAUUGUACUUUCGUCUCCCCUAAAAAAUUGUUUUAGCUUCACUCUUGGGUUCGGGGAUCAAAGUACAUAACCUGGUCAGAUCAAUGGUGAUAGUCAAAGUGACAGCAGUUCUUCACGGGCUCCAAUUUGCAUUAGAUAUGGGCUUCAUAAAUGCCAUUCUGGAAAGUGAUUCGAAGCUGGUUAUCCAGAAUAUUCAACAAAUGAGUGAAGAUUACUCGGAAUCUAGACCACUCACCUGGGAUGCGAAGGUUCUUGCAAGGAACUUUAUUUCUUGUUAAUUUCAAUUUGUUGCAUGAGAAGGGAACGCUGCAACGCAUGCAGUGGCUGUCGAAGGUUUGCGAACGCAAGUGGACUCAUUCUGGGUUGAAGAUGCUUCAACAAAAGUUUUGGAAGUGGUAGACUCAGAUCGACGAUUCAGUCAUCCACCCUAGCCUCCUCUACUAUGAUGUUGAUUUUUGAGUUGCGAAAUUUCAAAAUCUUCCUGUAAAUCUCAACUCGCCUCCUUGUCUGGCCGAUCUUUCACCAUAAUUUUGGGGGUUAUGGCCGUUUGGUGUUUCAGGUACGCGAAGGGACUGGAAGAAGGUUCUGGAGAGGGUUGUGUUUCUAUUUUAUUUUGUUUUCGUUACUAUGCUGUUAGAACUUUACUUUUGUUUGCUUGUUGGAUUACUUUUGGACUUCUUUAUUUUUUGGUCUUCCAGGCCCAUAUAUUUCAAACGGACUUUGACUAAAAAAAUUAAAUUUGAAAAUAAAUAUACGAAUGAAUUAUUUUAA
rnacentral:lncRNA from 1 species